UACGUAGGUGGCAAGCGUUGCUCGGAAUUAUUGGGCGUAAAGGGUAGGUAGGUGGUCUCAUUUGUCUGGGGUGAAAGCCUUGAGCUUAACUCAAGAAGUGCCCCAGAAACGGUGAGACUGGAGUCCUGGAGAGGGUCGUGGAAUUCCCGGUGUAGCGGUGAAAUGCGUAGAGAUCGGGAGGAACACCAGAGGCGAAAGCGGCGACCUGGACAGGUACUGACACUCAACUACGAAAGCGUGGGGAGCAAACAGG
rnacentral:rRNA from 1 species